rnacentral:lncRNA from 1 species
CUAACUCAUUCAAACCAUUUUAGGCCUUUGUGCCUUUCAAACUUAAAUUUUGUUAAAAUCAACAUAUCCACUUUGAAAUUUGUAGCACGAACUACGAGGUUUUGAUCCCUCAUUUUUAUGUUGGUACGUAGGCACAAGUCCGAAGAUCUUGUCAAACAAAAAAAAUAUAAUUAAUGAAUUCUUUUCUCAUCCCCCCAUUCUAUUUGCUUGUAAACAUCAUUUUGUACAAAAUACAUAUGCCCACAAAAAGGGCUCCCUAGGAGUACCUAGGACACUUUGG